GUACGUCUUCAGGGCGGGGUGCAAUUCCCCACCGGCGGUAUGCGUUUCGGCGAAAGCCGUCCGCGAGCCCGCGAGCGCCCGUGAAAAUGGCUCGUUUUUGCAAGUGCGUAGCCACGCCACGGGGUCAGCAGAUCUGGUGAGAUGCCAGAGCCGACGGUCAUAGUCCGGAUGGAAGAAGAUGUGC
rnacentral:ncRNA from 2 species